rnacentral:rRNA from 1 species
UCAAUAUUAACCUAAAUCAGGCGGACUCCCCGCU